AAUUUUGCGCAAUGGGGGAAACCCUGACGCAGCAACGCCGCGUGAAUGAUGAAGCCCUUCGGGGUGUAAAGUUCUGUCAGUGGGGACGAAAUUUGACGGUACCCACAGAGGAAGCACCGGCUAACUCCGUGCCAGCAGCCGCGGUAAUACGGAGGGUGCAAGCGUUGUCCGGAAUCAUUGGGCGUAAAGCGUUCGUAGGCGGUAUAUCAAGUCUGGUGUUAAAGCCCGAGGCUCAACCUCGGUUCGGCACUGGAUACUGAUAAACUAGAAUGUGGUAGAGGUGAAGGGAAUUCCUGGUGUAGCGGUGAAAUGCGUAGAUAUCAGGAGGAACACCGGUGGCGUAAGCGCUUCACUGGGCCAUUAUUGACGCUGAGGAACGAAAGCCGGGGGAGCAAAUGGG
rnacentral:rRNA from 1 species